rnacentral:tRNA from 1 species
CUCAAGGGAGCUGUAAACCUUAGCAUUAGUCUUUUAAACUAAAGAAAAUAAAUUUUAUUCCUAGAGA